rnacentral:rRNA from 1 species
AGCGAACGCUGGCGGCAGGCCUAACACAUGCAAGUCGAACGAAGUCUUCGGACUUAGUGGCGGACGGGUGAGUAACACGUGGGAACGUACCUUUUGGUUCGGAACAACUCAGGGAAACUUGAGCUAAUACCGGAUGAGCCCUUAGGGGGAAAGAUUUAUCGCCGAAAGAGCGGCCCGCGUUAGAUUAGCUAGUUGGUGAGGUAAAGGCUCACCAAGGCUACGAUCUGUAGCUGGUCUGAGAGGAUGAUCAGCCACACUGGGACUGAGACACGGCCCAGGCUCCUACGGGAGGCAGCAGUGGGGAAUCUUGCGCAAUGGGCGAAAGCCUGACGCAGCCAUGCCGCGUGAAUGAUGAAGGUCUUAGGAUUGUAAAAUUCUUUUACCAGGGACGAUAAUGACGGUACCUGGAGAAAAAGCCCCGGCUAACUUCGUGCCAGCCGCCGCCGUAAGAC